rnacentral:rRNA from 1 species
UACGUAGGGAGCGAGCGUUAUCCGGAUUUAUUGGGCGUAAAGGGUGCGUAGAUGGCAAUGUAAGUUGUAUGUUAAAAUGCUGGGCUUAACCCAGUAUCGCAUACAAGACUGCAUAGCUAGAGUAUGGAAGAGGCAAGUGGAACUCCAUGUGUAGCGGUAAAAUGCGUAAAUAUAUGGAAGAACACCAGUGGCGAAAGCGGCUUGCUAGUCCAAUACUGACAUUGAGGCACGAAAGCGUGGGGAGCAAACA